rnacentral:lncRNA from 1 species
GAAUAAAAAAGAUGAGCCAUAAUGACAAAGACAUAACAGAAUUAGAACAAAUUCACAGACUUCUCUUACAGGUAAAGUGAGAUUUUAAAAAGCAAACACAAAAUUUCCAGAGUCAUGUUUUAUUUUAACAUUCGAUCUUAGUGAAGUCACUUCACAAAGAGACACCGCAAGGAAAGAGAAGUCUUUACCCUCUGCAUUCCAAGAGAGUUUGUCUUCCUGGUUUUGUUUUUUAAGUUCAGUUUUAUUAAUCUUGUUCUUGACAACACACAGAGCAUUCUUAUAAGAUCCCAUUUUAAGAGAGCAGAUCGAGUCACAGUAGGCAGGUAAGACCAGGAAGCUAUUUCUAAAUGAGAACAUCCUUCUUGUAUUUCGAACACUUGCCAGGUGCUCAACUUUUGGGAUUUGGCUUCAGUAGUUAAAAAAAAUAAUAAUUCCAAUUGUAAACGUGGGGGCAGAGGGAUGGCUGGUCUCAGCGGAGUGUUACAAAGCAAACGUGGGAAAAACCACCUCUGGAAAGCAGAUGCGAAAGUGAUUUCUAUAGGAGAUUCGAUUAGUCAUCUGGUGAAGCGUUUACCGAUGGUGUCACAGAAAACCGUGAGCCCGUAGUUUACAAAUCGUCUCUUGUAAAAUCUCCAGGGUUCGAAGAAAGUUCGUGGAAAAACACAUAGUGUGUAUUUAAUUUGUUCUGUUCCAAAAUCAGCAUAAAGAACUACUAGAGUUCACUCUCCUAUUUUGUUACAUCUCUUAUACCACGUGGCUUUCUAAAGACUUGUUGUUCUAGAAGUGCCCCCCUCGGCUAGAAAACUAGACUUUGCUCUUGAGAAUUACAGAACUGAGUGAGGAAUGGAUGUCUUCUUUGUCAGCCUCGGGGCCGGCAGCACGGAGCUUCACACCCGUCGCUUAGGACUUCAGAAGCGUUCGCCUUGACCGUCGGUGAUGACAAACAGACAGACUCUCAGGGCAAGCUGCUGCACCCCGUAACGCUGACACCCGACCCCCUUUUCCCUUCCGCGGGUUCACAAGAGCGCCUCCAGCGGCUGCAGGAGCCUAGGCGGCAGCGCCUGGCGGGGGCAGCGCCUGGCGGGGGCAGCGCGCAUGCGCAAGCGCACGGGAAGCCCGUACGCGAGCCACGUCGUGUCUGUGCGCAGGCGCGCCCUCCGUCCUCUGCGUCGUCAGAGCCGCGCGAGCGCUGCUGCUGCACCUCAGCCCUUGUGAUUUCCCGUUUGACGUUCGGGACCAACCUGGCCGCAGCCGCGCUGACUCCAUCUUGGGUUCCUACAAUGUCUGUCAAAGAAAAUAGCACCUUUGGAAGCUGA